CACCGCGGUUAUACGAGUGACACAAGUUAAUAUUUUACGGCGUUAAGGGUGAUUAAAAAUAAACUUCCCAAAAAUAAAGUUAAUACAACAUCAAACUGUCAUACGUUCACAUGUUCAAAAACAUCACCCACGAAAGUAACUUUAUACAAAAAAGAGUUUUUGACCUCACGAUAGUUAAGACC
rnacentral:rRNA from 1 species